rfam:Tupaia chinensis contig49367, whole genome shotgun sequence.
CUGCUGUGAUUGGUUGUAAUCUAGCAGCCAGCUCAGAAAAACAGCCUAACGUGUACAAUUUUGGCUUAUCCGCAGGAAUCGAAGCGUGGGAGUACAGGGGUAGUUUUAGGCCCAAAUAGUUUAAUUUAAUAGAUAACAUCUUUACCAGAGGAUGCAUUUUUAAAGAACCAAGGAAACAUUGCUUUUCUGAAAGAGUG